GUUAUUUUUAAAAAGACAGAUUAAGAAUAGGAAUUAAAACCAAAAAUAUCCACCCCGGAUGUGUAUGCUUGAGAUAUAGAUGACAUCCAAUAACAAAAAGAGAGGGGUUCUCUAUAAUGUUGAAAGUCAAAAAUGAAAUUUGUGACUGACUAAUUGUGGUUAAUUCGAUAUUUAGUGAGGUUAGAAUGGAUCGGAGUUUUGUAGGAGACUAGUGCGGUUGGGAGAUUGUUUCCCACCAUAGUUUUUUUGUAAGAAACGAACGUAAUCUCCGACUUCAUUUUUGAUACAUAUUUUCUAUGUAACGAGAGAACGUUCUAUUAACGGGGUUAAUCGGCGAGUUAACAUUUUGGGAUUUUGGCCAGGUCAACGUUUAAAGGAAAUUCUUUACUUCUUCUUUACUUGCAGUUUUGUAGUGACCACCUCUUCUUUACUUGCAGUUUCACUUCUGCAAUUUGGGUAGAUUUAGCGAGAGGAAUUUUCAAAACACAGUACACUUCACACUGACAAUCGAUAAUUGAAGCCAUUACAAACUCUCAGCAUCACCGUGUGGAAUGGUUUCUCCGCCGCUAUGUUUUCCAAGCCACAAUCUACAUUGUGUGGAGGGAGCGGAAUGGUAGGCGUCACGGCGAGCCUCCGAACACAGCAUCUCAACUCGUUGGUUGGAUAGAUAAACAAAUUAGAAAUCAGCUGUCCUCUAUCUGUCUCAAGGGGGACAAGCGUUAUGAUGGAAGUCUCCAAGUUUGGUUUCAGUCAAGAAGUUAAUCUCUUAGCUCUGUUUCUUUCUUUUGUUCAAAACUAUUCUCAGCUCUAAUUCUCAAAACCAAGCUGCACUUGUUGUAAAAACGUUUUUCUUUGGAAUAUAAUUUAACAUUAUUUUUAAAAAAAAAAACAAAAUGGCUGAUCAACGUUUUUAUCAUGUUUAAUUUGGCCGACCUCAGAAUUCACGUAUGGAAUGAGCACUUUUUGAAAGUUCACGUAUAAAACAACAUUUUUCCCGAUCUUUAUGAUAUCAUUUUUAUUGAUAUGUUUCUUUUUUUCUUUUUGUUAAAGGAUUUGUUCUUAUUUUGUGACAAUAAUAUAUAAUAAGAGUUCUUGAUUAUGAUCAAAGUAAACUUUUUUUGUAGAACCCAUGACAUAACAUACAUGAUACAACCAAUUAUUCCCACUUUGAG
rnacentral:sRNA from 1 species